CCCUUAGAUGUUCUGGGCCGCACGCGCGCUACACUGACGAAUGCAACGAGCUUAUAACCUUGGCCGAAAGGUCUGGGUAAUCUCCAAAUUUCGUCGUGAUGGGGAUAGAUUAUUGCAAUUAUUAAUCUUCAACGAGGAAUGCCUAGUAAGCGCAAGUCAUCAGCUUGCGUUGAUUACGUCCCUGCCCUUUGUACACACCGCCCGUCGCUACUACCGAUUGAACGGUUUAGUGAGGGCCUCGGAUUGGUCUCGGCCCGCUCUUUACCGGGCGGCGCCGUUGGUCGAGAAGACGCUCGAACUUGAUCGUUUAGAGGAAGUAAAAGUCGUAACA
rnacentral:rRNA from 1 species